rnacentral:rRNA from 2 species
UGAGUAAUGUAUAGGAAUCUACCUAGUAGUACGGAAUAAUUGUUGGAAACGGCAACUAAUACCGUAUACGCCCUACGGGGGAAAAAUUUAUUGCUAUUAGAUGAGCCUAUAUUAGAUUAGUUAGUUGGUGAGGUAAAGGCUUACCAAGACAAUGAUCUAUAGCUGAUCUGAGAGGAUGAUCAGCCACACUGGAACUGAGAUACGGUCCAGACUCCUACGGGAGGCAGCAGUGGGGAAUAUUGGACAAUGGGCGAAAGCCUGAUCCAGCCAUGCCGCAUGAGUGAAGAAGGCCUUCGGGUUGUAAAGCUCUUUUAGUGAGGAAGAUAAUGACGGUACUCACAGAAGAAGUCCUGGCUAACUCCGUGCCAGCAGCCGCGGUAAUACGGAGAGGGCUAGCGUUAUUCGGAAUCAUUGGGCGUAAAGGGCGCGUAGGCGGGUUAGUAAGUUAAAAGUGAAAUCCCAAGGCUCAACCUUGGAACUGCUUUUAAAACUGCUAGUCUAGAGAUUGAAAGAGGAUAGAGGAAUUCCUAGUGUAGAGAUGAAAUUCGUAAAUAUUAGGAGGAACACCAGUGGCGAANGCGUCUAUCUGGUUCAAAUCUGACGCUGANGCGCGAAGGCGUGGGGAGCAAAC